UACGGAGGGUGCAAGCGUUAUCCGGAUUCACUGGGUUUAAAGGGUGCGUAGGCGGGCAGGUAAGUCAAUGGUGAAAUCUCCGAGCUUAACUCGGAAACUGCCAUUGAUACUAUUUGUCUUGAAUAUUGUGGAGGUAAGCGGAAUAUGUCAUGUAGCGGUGAAAUGCUUAGAUAUGACAUAGAACACCAAUUGCGAAGGCAGCUUACUACGGAUUGAUUGACACUGAGGCACGAAAGCGUGGGGAUCAAACAGG
rnacentral:rRNA from 1 species